UACGGAGGGAGCUAGCGUUGUUCGGAAUUACUGGGCGUAAAGCGCACGUAGGCGGCUUUGUAAGUUAGAGGUGAAAGCCCGGGGCUCAACCCCGGAAUUGCCCUUAAGACUGCAUCGCUUGAAUCCAGGAGAGGUGAGUGGAAUUCCGAGUGUAGAGGUGAAAUUCGUAGAUAUUCGGAAGAACACCAGUGGCGAAGGCGGCUCACUGGACUGGUAUUGACGCUGAGGUGCGAAAGCGUGGGGAGCAAACAGG
rnacentral:rRNA from 1 species